rnacentral:rRNA from 1 species
GACGAACGCUGGCGGCGUGCCUAAUACAUGCAAGUUGAGCGCUGAGGGUUGGUCCUUGUACCAACUGGAUGAGCAGCGCACGGGUGAGUAACGCGUGGGGAAUCUGCCUUUGAGCGGGGGACAACAUUUGGAAACGAAUGCUAAUACCGCAUAAAAACUUUAAACACAAGUUUUAAGUUUGAAAGAUGCAAUUGCAUCACUCAAAGAUGAUCCCGCGUUGUAUUAGCUUGUUGGUGAGGUAAAGGCGCACCAAGGCGAUGAUACAUAGCCGAACUGAGAGGGUGGUCGGCCACAUUGGGACGGUGACACGGCCCAAACGCCUACGGGAGGCAGCAGGAGGGAAUCGUCGGCCAUGGACGAAAGUCUGACCGCGCAACGCCGCGGGAGGGAAGAAGGGUGUCGGAUCGUAAAAGUCGGUUGGUAGAGAAGAACGUGGGUGAGAGUGGAAAGCUCAUUAAGUGACGGUAACUACUCAGAAAGGGACGGCUAACUACGUG